UACAGAGGUCCCAAGCGUUGUUCGGAUUCAUUGGGCGUAAAGGGUGCGUAGGUGGCGCCGUAAGUCGGGUGUGAAAUUUCGGAGCUUAACUCCGAAACUGCAUUCGAUACUGCGGUGCUUGAGGACUGGAGAGGAGACUGGAAUUCAUGGUGUAGCAGUGAAAUGCGUAGAUAUCUGGAGGAACACCGGUGGCGAAGGCGGCAUCCUGGACCAACACUGACGCUGAGGAGCGAAAGCCAGGGGAGCAAACGGG
rnacentral:rRNA from 1 species